rnacentral:antisense_RNA from 2 species
CUUGACCGACCCCAGCCACAGCGGCCGCUCACGGCCCUGGCCGUAGGUCGCCAGCAGCGCCUGCGCUUC